ACUACGGGUGGCAGCAGUGAGGAAUAUUGGUCAAUGGACGAGAGUCUGAACCAGCCAAGUAGCGUGAAGGAUGACUGCCCUAUGGGUUGUAAACUUCUUUUAUAAAGGAAUAAAACGAGGCACGUGUGCCUUUUUGCAUGUACGUUAUGAAUAAGGAUCGGCUAACUCCGUGCCAGCAGCCGCGGUAAUACGGAGGAUCCGAGCGUUAUCCGGAUUUAUUGGGUUUAAAGGGAGAGUAGAUGGGUUGUUAAGUCAGUUGUGAAAGUUUUCGGCUCAACCGUAAAAUUGCAAUUGUUACUGGCAGUCUUGAGUACAGUUGAGGUAAGCGGACUUCGUGGUGUAGCUGUGCACUGCU
rnacentral:rRNA from 1 species